rnacentral:lncRNA from 1 species
AAGAACAUAACCUCCGAUACGAUAAAUAGAAUAAAACCAUAUCGAGGUCCUAAUUUUACGACUUUGGGAUGUUUUUCGAACGUGGAUUCACGUAGAACAUCGCGCCACCAUAUGAACAUGAUAUAUAGGAUAAAUAUGAGGCCCAAACUGCGAAGUGUUGCACCCCUUUGGAAUGAGUGCAUGUACAUCACACCUCCUACGGUUGUUGCCAAAGCUCCGAGUGAACCCGAAAUAGGCCAUGGACUUGGAUCUACCAAAUGAUAAGAAUGCCUCUGAGAUUCAAUCAUAAACCACUUUGCCUCGGUUCUAUGUAAACCCCCCUUCACCCCCACCCCCUAAAGUAGUAAAGUAAAGAAGGGCUCUUUGGGGUCUAAUUUGCUUUCUAUCUGACAGGACAAACAAAGAAAUAGGAAGGGAUGGUUCUUUCAUUCCAUUGAUAGAAGUCUAUUCGCGGAUUAGUUCGUUCUGCGCCGCCAGCGGCCUCAACCUAAAGGCGCAGGUUGAUCUCUCUAGUUGAGGCUGCAUUCAUUUAUUCAUAUUCAACUUGACACGUGGGAAGGGCUUACUCUACUAGUGGCUCGGCUUGGUCUCGCUCCCUUC